rnacentral:tRNA from 1 species
GGCGACGUGGCGAAGUGGGAACGCUGAGGUCUGCAAAACCUCCAUGAGUCGGUUCGAUUCCGACCGUCGCCU